CAGUAGCCGCGGUAAUACGAAGGGUGCAAGCGCUAAUCGGAAUUACUGGGCGUAAAGCGUGCGUAGGCGGUGAGUUAAGUCUGCUGUGAAAUCCCCGGGCUCAACCUGGGAAUGGCAGUGGAUACUGGCUCGCUAGAGUGUGUCAGAGGAUGGUGGAAUUCCCGGUGUAGCGGUGAAAUGCGUAGAGAUCGGUAGGAACAUCAGUGGCGAAGGCGGCCAUCUGGGACAACACUGACGCUGAGGCACGAAAGCGUGGGGAGCAAACAGGAUUAGAUACCCCCGUAGUCCCUGUCUCUUAUAU
rnacentral:rRNA from 1 species